rnacentral:ribozyme from 14 species
GAGGGAGAAAGAGAGAAGAAGAAGAAAAAGAAACAGCAGAAAAAAUAUGGGAAAUUUCAUCAUCACGUGGAAAACUGCUGGCUGUUCGAUUUUUGGGCUGGCUAUUUUGUCUGGCUAUCCGUUUUUGGGGCUGGCUAUUUUGCUGGCUAUCGGGAAAAUUUUCUUAGAAAAA